ACCACUGAGCCACCUUCCCAGCCCCAAGGUACUUUUUUUUAUGUAAAGAAAAGCUUAGGGGAUGGGCUGGGAAGGUGGCUCAGUGGU
rnacentral:pre_miRNA from 1 species